AACGAACGCUGGCGGCAUGCCUAACACAUGCAAGUCGAACGAGAUCUUCGGGUCUAGUGGCGCACGGGUGCGUAACGCGUGGGAAUCUGCCCUUUGGUUUGGAAUAACAGUUGGAAACGACUGCUAAUACCGGAUGAUGACGAAAGUCCAAAGAUUUAUCGCCAGAGGAUGAGCCCGCGUAGGAUUAGCUAGUUGGUGUGGUAAAGGCGCACCAAGGCGACGAUCCUUAGCUGGUCUGAGAGGAUGAUCAGCCACACUGGGACUGAGACACGGCCCGGAAGCCUACGGGAGGCAGCAGUGGGGAAUAUUGGACAAUGGGCCAAAGCCUGAUCCAGCGAUGCCGCGUGAGUGAUGAAAGCCGUAGGGUUGUAAAGCUCUUUUACCCGGGAUGAUAAUGACAGUACCGGGAGAAUAAGCUCCGGCUAACUCCGUGCCAGCCGCCGCCGUAA
rnacentral:rRNA from 1 species